CACGAGUUCAGACUCGUGGCGAAUAGCUCAGUAACACGUGGCCAAACUACCCUUCGGAGCACGAUACCCUCGGGAAACUGAGGCUAAUAGUGCAUACCACAAUCCACCUGGAAUGAGGAUUGUGCCAAAUGCUCCGGCGCCGAAGGAUGUGGCUGCGGCCGAUUAGGUAGACGGUGGGGUAACGGCCCACCGUGCCAAUAAUCGGUACGGGUCAUGAGAGUGAGAACCCGGAGACGGAAUCUGAGACAAGAUUCCGGGCCCUACGGGGCGCAGCAGGCGCGAAACCUUUACACUGCACGCCAGUGCGAUAAGGGAAUCCCAAGUGCGUAGGCAUAGAGCCUACGCUUUUGUCCACCGUAGGGAGGUGUACGAAUAAGGGCUGGGCAAGACCGGUGCCAGCCGCCGCGGUAAUACCGGCAGCCCGAGUGAUGGCCGAUCUUAUUGGGCCUAAAGCGUCCGUAGCUGGCCGCACAAGUCCAUCGGAAAAUCCACCCGCUCAACGGGUGGGCGUCCGGUGGAAACUGUGUGGCUUGGGACCGGAAGGCGCGACGGGUACGUCCGGGGUAGGAGUGAAAUCCCGUAAUCCUGGACGGACCGCCGAUGGCGAAAGCAC
rnacentral:rRNA from 1 species